rnacentral:miRNA from 1 species
CUCCAGCAGACCCUCCCUCCCAGACCCUUCCACCUCCUUCAACAUGGAUGCUGUCCAGGAGGUGGGAGGGUCUGGGAGGGAGGGUCAGCUGGAG